ACGCUCGACACCUACGGGAGGCGGCAGUGAGGGAUAUUGGUCAAUGGGGGAAACCCUGAACCAGCAACGCCGCGUGAGGGAUGACGGUCUUCGGAUUGUAAACCUCUGUCCUCUGUGAAGAUAAUGACGGUAGCAGAGGAGGAAGCUCCGGCUAACUACGUGCUAGCAGCCGCGGUAAUCUGAGCGGGCUGGCAAGGC
rnacentral:rRNA from 1 species